rnacentral:lncRNA from 1 species
CAUAUUGCAUAUAGAUACCAUUACUGAGUUGUGUGUGUCAAUUUUUUUUUCCUAUUUUUUGGAAGUGUGAGACUGAAAGAAAGGAAGCGAAAGCACUGAUAGAAUUGAAACGACUAGUAGAAGUCCGUCUGGACCAAGCAAUGAAACGAAACRUUGAACUGCAGAAAGAAUGCAACAGGUUCAAGAAGCUUCUGAAAACAGCUAUGAARAAACUGAAGGUGCAGGAGRUGCGAGAGAGUGAGUCCCARUUUGGUUCCCAGGGMGAAAUGAAGAACAGGUAUUCUGAAAUGGUCAAUGAAGUCACUAGAUUAAGAACAAAGGUAAGCUUAUUUUUUCUUUUUUUAUACUGUUUUAUUCUUUUCCUUGCUUCUUUCCGUGUUGUUAAUUAUCUGUUGGCUGUAUUUCAAAACGGACUUCUCUUCUUCACAUUUCAUCUUCCGUAGUAGAAAAUAAUGAUGGAUGCCUAUGUAGUUAUCACUGUGGGUAAAAAUGACACCUUCAUGUGCAGGGCAGUCUCUGUGAAGGCAGAAAAAGGGCAGACUGGUGCGCAAAGGGAGGGUGAACCUGGAGCCAAGGGCUGCAGCAAGGCAGGUGGGGGCCGCAGCCUCCUUGCCCGGGGCACGGUCCCAGAGGACAGAAUCACAGAGCGGUAGAGGUUGGAAGGGACCUCUGGAGAUCGUCUAGUUCAACUCCCCUGCUCAGGCAGGGCCACCUAGAGCAUACUGCCCACGACCCCAUGCAGACAGCUUUUGAAUAUCUUCGAGGAKGGAGACUACACCACCUUUCUGGGCAACCUGUGAACCCGAGCAAGAAGAGUAGAGCAGGUCUGGUGACAGUAAGCAGGGUUAGCCAAGAGUCCCAGGGUGGUGCGUAGGGAUGUGCAGGUCCRCAGUCAGGCCAGGAAGUCAAGUCCCCAUGUCAGGGUCAGGGUCGAGAGCAACAUGGCCAGGCACAGACCUGGCCCCAGCRUAGCUCAGGCAGAGACCGAGGACAAGAGCCUAACUUCAGAGCAGCUCCUGAGCUCUGAGGGGCCGAGCCUCUGCYGUGGUCUCUCGCAGCUCUUCCAGUACAGCUGCACUAUGUAAGUCAGCCCUGUACGGAGUCAGCCAARCUCCUGUGUUUGGAGCCCUGGCAGCACCUUCUAGGCCUGAGGGAUGAAUUCUUUCUCUGGAAGAAAGGUAAAUAAAAGCAUCAUAAAUCUAACA